rnacentral:rRNA from 1 species
UUAGGGAUUAGCAUCACGUCACCGUGUAGCUGCCUUCUGUACCCCCCAUUGUAACACGUGUGUAGCCCCGGACGUAAGGGCCGUGCUGAUUUGACGUCAUCCCCACCUUCCUCACAUCUUACGACGGCAGUCUCGACAGAGUCCCCAGCAUAACCUGAUGGUAACUAUCGAUAAGGGUUGCGCUCGUUAUGGCACUUAAGCCGACACCUCACGGCACGAGCUGACGACAACCAUGCAGCACCUUCACAAAUGCCUUGCGGCUGAUCUGUUUCCAGAACAUUCAUUUGCAAUUUAAGCCCGGGUAAGGUUCCUCGCGUAUCAUCGAAUUAAACCACAUGUUCCUCCGCUUGUGCGGGCCCCCGUCAAUUCCUUUGAGUUUCACCGUUGCCGGCGUACUCCCCAGGUGGAAUACUUAACGCUUUCGCUUGGCCGCUUACUGUAUAUCGCAAACAGCGAGUAUUCAUCGUUUACUGUGUGGACUACCAGGGUAUCUAAUCCUGUUUGAUACCCACACUUUCGAGCAUCAGCGUCAGUUACAGUCCAGCAAGCUGCCUUCGCAAUCGGAGUUCUUCGUGAUAUCUAAGCAUUUCACCGCUACACCACGAAUUCCGCCUGCCUCUACUGUACUCAAGACACCCAGUAUCAACUGCAAUUUUACGGUUGAGCCGCAAACUUUCACAACUGACUUAAGCAUCCGCCUACGCUCCCUUUAAACCCAAUAAAUCCGGAUAACGCUCGGAUCCUCCGUAUUACCGCGGCUGCUGGCACGGAGUUAGCCGAUCCUUAUUCAUACGGUACAUACAAAAAGGCACACGUGCCUAACUUUAUUCCCGUAUAAAAGAAGUUUACAACCCAUAGGGCAGUCAUCCUUCACGCUACUUGGCUGGUUCAGACUCUCGUCCAUUGACCAAUAUUCCUCACUGCUGCCUCCCGUAGGAGUUUGGACCGUGUCUCAGUUCCAAUGUGGGGGACCUUCCUCUCAGAACCCCUAUCCAUCGAUGGCUUGGUGGGCCGUUACCCCGCCAACAACCUAAUGGAACGCAUCCCCAUCAAUGACCGAAAUUCUUUAAUAGCUGAAAGAUGCCUUUCAGAUAUACCAUCGGGUAUUAAUCUUUCUUUCG